AUUGAACGCUGGCGGCAGGCCUAACACAUGCAAGUCGAGCGAGCGGCGGACGGGUGAGUAAUGUCUAGGUAACUGCUUGAUGGAGGGGGCUACCUACUGGAAACGGUAGCUACUCACGCGUCUCAUCCGGUGUGCCCAGAUGGGAGUAGCUAGUAGGUGGGGGAACGUCUCACCUAGGCGACGAUCCCUAGCUGGUCUGAGAGGAUGACCAGCCACACUGGAACUGAGACACGGUCCAGACUCCUACGGGAGGCAGCAGUGGGGAAUAUUGCACAAUGGGCGCAAGCCUGAUGCAGCCAUGCCGCGUGUGUGAAGAAGGCCUUCGGGUUGUAAAGCACUUUCAGCGGGGAGGCGUUACCCGCAGAAGAAGCACCGACUAACUCCGUGCCAGCAGCCGCGGUAAUAC
rnacentral:rRNA from 1 species